UAUGUAUAUAUGUAUGUAUAUGUAUGUCUGUAUGUAUAUGUAUGUAUAUGUAUGUAUGUGUGUGUAUAUGUAUGUAUGUAUGUAUAUAUGUGUGUAUGUAUGUAUGUGUAUGUAUGUAUGUAUAUGUAUGAUCAGCAUCCCUUCCUAAUGUUGCAUUUCUUUCAUAAGGUUCUAGAAGACCAAUCAUGCAACUGGGGGUCACAGGAAUGGUGGGUGUUGGUCUCAGUCAAGGGAGCUAAAGAAAGGCUGGACUCAUUAGAGAAAGCUCCUAGAGAAAACACCCAUGUGCUGUGCAGAGGCUGAAUCCCAGCAUCCAGGCCCCCAAGCAGGGCUUGCUCCUAGAGCUGCUUGGGACUCCCUGGAAAUAUCUAGGAAGCUUUCCCAAGGAGCGAGUCCAAAGUGGACCAUAUUGAGUUUUGCAGGCUCCGAACACAUUACGAACAACAGAAACACUCAUGCAGAAGAGUGGUAAACGUGAGGUAUAGAAGUGAGUUUCGCUUUGUAACCCUAGGAAAGUGCCAGUCUAUCUGCUUUUGAAUGUGCAGCUACUAAAGAUAAUCUCUAAGAAAUGCUCCCUUUGUUCUGCCUGCUCUUUUGUUCCCUGGAAACAGACAGGUGGGAGUGAGAGGAAUAGGUGCUUGGGGAGCGUUCCCAGAGAUGAAGGCGGUGCUGGCGUGGACGUCUGAGCCAAGGCAGGCACCUUCAUGGUCACCUGCUGCCAAAUGAACAGCAAGAGACAGGAGCAAAUAAAGGAGCUCGUGCACAGCGGGGGCUGACGUGCCUCCCAGCAGGAGACGCACAUACGAGGGAAAUUGUCUUGGGACACUUGGCGGUUGCUAGAAUAGCUGCUUUGCAUAAUGAAUUCCUGGCCUAAUGGGUAUGUAGAUCCCAGCACUUGGGGCAAGACUGUUUUUGGUUUAGCUCACACACCAGAAAAUAGAAUGUGCCAAUAUGAAUUGAAAAUUCUUAAAAGGGAUCAGUGUAAUCCCUAUUUAAUUUGGACUUUUCCUCUUAAAUUCAUUUUGCAAAUGGUAAGACAUUCUAGUAACGGACACAAAGGCAUUUUUAUACAUGCGGAACACACUUCACCCUGGGAAUAGUCCACUUGCCCCUAAUUGAGAUCAUAAAGGAGGGGGAAGCCUUGCAAAGAAACCUCUGCAAAUGCAGAAGAGAGCUCUCGAUGCCGUCCCAGUGGCAAGUGAAACAGAAGUUCACCUUCCCUCAGGGUUUCACGUGGCCGCAGAGCCUUGAAAUUGUUCAGGAGGGUGGAGUGAGGCCGAAGGUCAUUAGAAAGAUAUUGCUGCUAUUUUGAUUUACUUGCUCUUAAUUUCUGUUAACUCUUCCUAAAUUUUAUGAGACUGAUGCUUUUCCUUGAAGCUGGUAAAGGAUUUAAGCACGGGCCCAAACAUAUGAGGUGUGCUGUUCCUCUCACUUGAACUGGGACCUGCAUAUGGAGAUGAGCAAACGAUGACAUUUGCAGAGAAUCAGCACAUCACCCGAUGGCAGAACACGCCCAUUCCAAUGGGCUGGCAAGGAGGGGUGGUGCCAGGGUGUGCUGUGGGCACACAGACCUAACACUAACCCCACACAUCUUGGACCACCGAUUGAUCGCUCUCGUAGAGGCCUGGGGCUCUCAACCUGCUUGCUCUUUGAAAGCUCUGUGCAAAACCGAAGUCACACAUAUAUGCUCCAGGCAUUCACUCCGUAGCUGACACCUUCAUCCAACAACUAUUUGAGCACCUACCCUAUGCCAUUAUACUUGCUGCUGAGGUUGGUGUGGUUUGGCUCUGUGUCCUCAUGUUGAAUUGUAACCCCCACUUGUCAGGGAGGGACCUGGUGGGAAGUGAUUAGAUCAUGGGAACAGGUUCCUCCCUGUUGUUUUCGUGAUACUUAGUGAAUUCUCAUGAUAUCUGAUGGUUUAAAAGUAAAGCACUUCCCCUUUAAGUGCCCUCUCUCCUGCUCCAUCGUGGCAAGACAUGCUUGCUUCCCCUUCUGCCAUGACUGUAAGUUUCCUGAGGCCUCCCAGCCAAGCUUCCUGUUAAGAUGCGGAACUGUGAGUCAAUUAAACCUCUUUUCUUCAUAAAUUAUCCAAUCUCAGUUAGUUCUUUAUAGCAAGGUGAGAAUAGACUAAUACAGAGGUAAGACAGAUUGGAAUUGCAUUCUAGGGAGAAAGGGAAUUUGCAAGUAAAAGAAUACAUUAAAAAGGACAUUGGAUUGUUCUUAAUGGUACAAAAGCGCACUUUGGACAGGGUGGUCAGGGAAGGGCUUUUUGAAGCGGUGCCAAUUAAUGUGUGUUGUUGGAAUGAAACUGUGAAAACAUGAACACGUAGCAUGACUGGGAAUUCAGAGGGGGAAAAGUCAUGUUCUUUGCUCUUCAGGAGUUCAGAGUCUCAGAGGAUAAAGUCAAAACCAUGAGCUGGAAUGAGAAGGGAUCUAAGAGUACAGAUGAAAUAUCUGGCUGUUCUUAGGAAGAAGGGCUGGUCUCUAACUGAAGGCAAAGAGGUCUCCUGAGACAGCUGAUCUUUGACCUCAAGUUGAUUUUAGGAAAGAAAGCGGGUGAGAGUGUUCCGGGCAGAGGAAUACAGCCCUGGGCAGAGAUAGGAACACAGGGCAUGUAUAGGGAACAGCUCGAGGCUUAAUUUGGCUGAAAUAUAGAGAACUUGAAGGAAAGUCAUGGGUGCUGCGGCUGAACUGGCCAAGGGGGGCAUCUUGCCGAGGGUUGCUUGCGUGGCUGGCGUGCCAUUGUCUGCAAACAGCUUUCUGUCUGGCAGUCGCAGACAUAACUUUAAAUGCUGGUGGCAAGUUGCUGUGGCUGAUUGAGGGUCUGCGGAAUCUCCCCCAUUUCCCUGCACAGGGGAGAGGAAGCUACAUACUCACCUCCCGGGACAGAAGUGGAGCCCACUGGAAAUGCAGUUGACCAGCCCAUAUGAUUUUUCACCACCAGUGAAGUUGGUCUGCUGCUUUCCCCAGAGGUGUAGGGUGGAAGGUGCACAAAUCCUAGGCCUUUCCCAUAGGGAUAAUUCAGUCUGAGGGGCGGAAAGGCAGAGGCUCCCACCAGAACAAGCCUCAGGGCAGGUGCCAUGAAUACAGCCCCGUGGACCCUGAGGGGUUGGCUGAGGAGACCAGAGUGGCUGGUCAAUCAAGAAAUCGCAGUCAAACAAAUCAGUGAGGAAAGCAUUUAAAAUGUGUUGCUGGUUAAAUACAGUGGCUAAUCCCAGCACUCUGGGACACUGGGGCUGGAGGAUCACUUGAGCUCAGGAGUUUGAGACCAGCCUGGGUUAACAGCAAGACCUCGCCUCUACUACAAAUAAAAACAAUUUGAAAAACCAGCUGGGUGUGGUAGUGCCUGCACCUGUAGUCAGCUACUCAGGAGGUGGAAGCAGGAGGAUUGCUUGAACUUGGGAGAUGGAGGCUGCAGUGAGCUAUGAUUGCACCACUGCAUUCAACCUGCAUGCAGAGCAAAACCUUACACACACACACACACACACACACACACACACGUUGAGACCCCUAUUUCCCUAUUUUUUCUAGAGUAUUUUUAACAUGCUACCUCCACGGUUGUGUGGGUUUCAUAAGCUGGCCUUCCAAGUCCUCUGAACAAGCUGCCUCUUUGUGCCAUGUGGAUUUAACUGAGGGUGUCACUGGAUUCUUCAUACACCAUAUUCUCCUUUCUGGAAUGCUGCCUCCUGGAUUGCAAGUACAAAAUCACAAAGUGAAUGUGAUGCAAAUGCAGGAAAGACAUGUCUUUGUAACAGACCUUCACAGGAGAUUUGCUAACGUAAAAAGAACAAGCAGAAUAAUGAGGUCCCCAGAGUGACUGAUGGGGGUGCGACAAGCACCCUCACUUUCUAGUGGAUCCAGGUAGUGGCUGUCAAGACCCUUUGUGCUCCAGGAUUUCUGCCACAAUGAGGCCUCUCCUCAAAAGUCCGUUUGGUUCUCAGAACCUCUCUCAGUGAGGACAGCGCCGGGCAUCACCUGCUCUUAGUCCUGAUUGUGAGCCAUUCACUGGCUUUGUGCCCUUAAAAAAGUCCCUACUCCUCAGUAGCCCAAUCCCUAAAGAGGACACCAGAACACCCACCUUCCUGAUUCUCUAGGAUGCUACAGGUCGAUGAGUGUGUACACAUGGCACGGGAAAGAGCAGCAUAACGAAGCGGGAAUCACAGCGGAGAAAGCCACCUGGACUCAGCAUCACGCCACCACACAGUUGCCAGCUUGGUUAAGAAGGAGGCAGUGGGCCGGAAUCCCCCCCUCAAAAAACGUCCCACAGCCAUCUUGGAAAUUUGUCCCUACUCUUAAGGUCCUAGACAGGAAUAUUUGGGGGAAAUCUUUGAUUUUACCCACCUUUUACAAAGUAAACUAAAAAAAAAAAAAUAGAUAACAUGUGCAGAAAAAUGCACGCUUAGGUUUACAAGUAUAUGAGCUGGAUGAAUUUCUGCAAAGUGAAAUUACCCAGUCCCACCCCCAGGCCAAGGUAGAGAACACGGCCAGCAUCACACUCACUGCCCUUUGCAAAAGGCAGAGCUGUAGCGCCAUAGUGAAUCCGCAUCUCUUUGAAUUGUGUAUAAAUGGAACAUACAGCCCAUUAUCUUUCAUGUCGGGAUCCCUUUACUCAACAUUCCAUUUGCAAGACUACCCAUACCUUUGCUCACGCAGGACCUCAUUCAUUCUCAUUGCUGUCUAAUAUUUCACUGUGUAACCGCCACAGUCUAACCAUCCCACUAGUGGUGGGCAUUCGGUCAUCUCCAGAAUGUUGGCUAUUACCAAUAUGUCUUAAGUAUUCUCUUAUAUAUUUUUGAUGCAUAUAUGCGAGCAUUUCUGUAGGAUGUAUACCUAGAAGUUUUUCUUUUUACAAAGCUUUAUUCAAAGAUAUAGCACCUUCUUGACAUACAUCCAAGUAAUUUUUUUCUUUUUAUAAAUGACAGAUAAAAUUGUAUGUAUUUGUCAUGUGCAACAUGAUAUUUUGAUGUGUACAUUGUUGCCUACUUAUCUUUUUAAGAGACAAGGUAUUGCUGUGUGGCCCAGGCUGGACUUGAACAGCUAGGCACUAAGGAUCCUCCUGCCUCAGCAUCCCAGGUAGCUGGGAUUACAGGCAUGCACCACCAUGCCCGGCCCCACCGCUUUUGAAAACCUAUGAUCUCUGUAACGAAGAUGCCCAGACACCUCACUGGUGAACAGCAGGACUUGCUAGAAAUUCUCUUAUAGUAAUUUGCAUCUGGAAAAAUGGGAGAAAUUACAUUCACUAAUUUUUAUUAUAAGCAUUAGCCUUGACACCCACAGGCUGCAGGGCAUCGGACCAUCAAGCAUACAAUGUGGUAUAAGAUAUCCGAGGCUCCCUCACCCGCAGGUUAAGUAGAUUCAUAUUUUUUACUAGAUAGACCCCCACAACAUGACAAGUGGCUUUAAAGAGAGUUGUAUACACACAUGCGUGCGCGCACACACACAUAUACAGAGACUAAAAGGAAUUCUAAUGUUGCAAGCACAAGCAGGCAAGAAAACGACUGUGUCCCCUUCAGCCCCUGGCUCUUCAAACAACUGACAAUUUAUCUGGCAACAAGACCCACCGAUUUCAAAAUAAUCAGUGCACCUUAACAACUGACCUCACUCUAAGUGCAUACAGAGCCUUGAUAUUUAUUGCCUGGUGGGAGUCGUACAUGUAUUUAACAUGUAAAUAACCACAAAUACGCUGGCCGGGAAGCAGGCUCGUGCUUGUCUUAGGCCAGAUUUCCCAGAUACAGAACCAGACCUGGAUUCUUGGACAAGCGAUGGAUUGAGGGUGUUCUUUCAGGAAAAGAGGAGUGUGGGAACGGGACCAGAGCAAGGGAAGGAACUAAGCAAGGCUGUGGCCUCAGCCUGACCCUGCAGGGAGCUCAGGAGCAGACAUCGCACCCCAGAGGAAUUGGAAGAAGCGGACCCUAAAUACACGCUGGCUGUGAGCUGCUCCUGAGAUGGCGGGGACGGGGUGCUCAGGUGUGCGUCAUAACCUCCCAGGUGAGCCUAGGGCAGUGCUCCAGCAAAAGGGGCAGCUGCUGGCAGCCAACAUUCACAGCAGCUGGGAUCUGGGCAGGGCAUAGCAGCGUCUGCUACCAGGCUCACCAUUUACCAAUGGGGCUCGUGUCCAUAAAGUUCAGAGGCUGCUGAUGCUAGACUCAGGGAUGAGCACGACGGGUGUGCUUCCUGUGGUGAGAUGCAGAAAACCCGGAAGCAUUUGGCAUGCCACAGAGCACCCCCACAUUCCCCUCUCCCCCUGAGCACCCGGCAUGGGCCCCCCACCCUCCUUGUCCAGGCUCAGCCGCCAUCAUCCACACUGUGGUCACACCCCGGGACUAUGAUGUGUCUGUUGUUACAUGGAGUCUCCACAAGAGUUGCCUUUGAUCGUAAGAGCUAGAAGGACAUGUUGAUGCCAGUAGGAAGGUGAGCCGGAAAGAUUUAAAGGAUGGCUUGAAGAAACGGGGAGGGAGGGGGGUGCGGGGGGGGGGUCGUUAAGCCAAGAAUGAGGGCAAGGGUAAGAGAACUGACUUGGAGGUAAAAAGAACACACAAAUGCACACCCCACAGAGAGGAUGGGCUAGCCAUGUGGAGCCAGUGUGGAGAGCAGGGAAGAAGAGACCUAGUUCUCAUCCUGGCUCUGUCACCAAAGAGCCGUGGGGCUUGGACAAGCGUCCUACCCUCUCCAGACCCAGCACCAAGAAAAACGUAACACCCAAUCCCUGGAUAGGGCCUGAGCUGCCCAUCCUCCCCAGGGAACCCCCGUCCUGCCGUGGCCCUGCCAUCUGUCCUUACUGGGGUGCUGAUUGCUUCCCUGGCUCUGCUGGCAUCUCCUCAGAGGCCUCUGUCCAUCCCAUCUAAAGGAGCCACCCGACCAUCGUCUUUCAACAUGGCAAUUAGAACAUUGUGGAAUUCUCGGCAUGGGCUGCUGUCUUUGUUUCUUUAACUAUCAGUCUGAGAAGAAGGACCCCGCUGGCUUGUCCGCUGCUCUGUUGCCUGGGCCCAGGAGCACAUCAGGCUCUCAGCAAAUACUUUCUAGAGGCUUCACCAGGCCUUGCCAGAGGGAAAAGGAAGAUUAAAAAGAAGACGAGACUACGGAAAAUUAAAGAAAAAGAAAGAGAGAGAGAAAGAAAGAAAAGAAUGAAAGAGAGAAAGAAAGAGGAAGAGAAAGAGGGAGAGAGAACGGGAAUCUUGCUCUGUUGCCCAGGCUAGAAUGCAGUCUAAAAAUGGAAUGAGAGGCCUGCUUGAGUCACCAUUAAAGUCUUUUCUACCCAACAUGCCUGAAAAAAAAAAAACACCAGCUCUUUGGUGUCUGUAGUUUCGGGGUUUAAGGCUUCUCCACCCUCAUUUCUCCCAAGAGCAGUGAAGAAUCAGAAGAAGGCUUCCUGGACAUUUUAUGAGAAAAGGCACAAAGCCCAUUAAUAAAGGCGUUGUCAAUACGCGUUCCAGGCUGUGCUGUGUGCCUCUCGUCAAGUACACGCUGCAUGAAGAUAGAUGUGAACGGCCAGUGCUUAAGCAAAGGCUCUUUUGAGCAAGAAAAGAAUGUCAGUCAUCAAAGAAUUUCGGAACAUACAGAUCUUCUAGUCUAGGCUAGACCAACACAUAAACCAAAUUCCAAUGAGCUGGCGUUACCCAACACUCAGUGGUCCUGGGAGGCAGGGGGCACCAGAACAGAAGUCUUCUUUGGGAUUUAAUUAGAUUGAGAUGGUUGAUAUGUUCUUCAAGGAGGGAGCUGAGCACUUAAAAUUAUGCCAAAGAUAUUUUUCCCCCGGUGUCUGUUAUGGGAGCCAUGAACCUAUCAAAAUGUGUGAUAAGGAAGCUACUUGUGUCAUUUUAAACUAGUUCAAACCAGCUAGGCUGCUCCCUGCUUUAAGCUGCUGGCUAUCAGCUGUCAUUCAGCCUGGAUGUGAAACAGGCAGGUGGAUGAGGAAGACAUCAUCUUGUUAGAAUCUGCAGGAGCGGGCAAGCAGAAUGCCUAUCAUCAUCACACAUCUCCCAGGCAGGCUCAGGCACAGGCUCCAGCACGAAGCACUGUCUUAGAUCGGCUUUUUCAUUUAAAUGACAUUUUUUGGGGAAAGGUUAGAAUUUAAUCCUCUCUCAGCAUAGAGUUAUUUCAGUUGCCACUGAUCUUUCCGAUAAAUGAGAAGGGUUUCGUUUUUCUUGCUACCAAGGUAUCUAAUUUUAUAAAAGCCUUCAACAAUGUAAUAAUUUAUUGUCACAACAGGAUGGCUGCGUGUAAGGACUGGUCUACUUUCUAUUAAUUUUCUAAAUGAAUCUCUUCUCCUCAGCACUGAGAAGUUGUGCAUGCCUUUCUCUGCGGGUUUCAUUAAGACCUGUUUGAAGUCAUGAUUGUAAGAUCAUUACGAUGUUUUUAAAAGAUAGUGGGUUUCAAAGAGUUGUACUUAGAAGACUUAAAAAGCUUCAUCAUCUUGAUUCCUGUCCUCAGAGCUGUGAUCUGUGUUUGCAGUAAUUGGUAUCAUUUUCCUUGCAAUUUCACACCCAAGUUCUAUUGUUCUAAUUACACCUAGUACUCUUGGGAAAUGA